rnacentral:rRNA from 1 species
UACGUAGGGGGCAAGCGUUGUCCGGAUUUAUUGGGCGUAAAGAGCGUGUAGGCGGCCAUACAGGUCAGCUGUGAAAACUCGAGGCUCAACCUCGAGACGUCGGUUGAAACCGUAUGGCUAGAGUCCGGAAGAGGAGAGUGGAAUUCCCGGUGUAGCGGUGAAAUGCGCAGAUAUCGGGAAGAACACCUAUGGCGAAGGCAGCUCUCUGGGACGGUACUGACGCUGAGGAGCGAAAGCGUGGGGAGCGAACAGG